ACCUGGCUGGCUCAGUUGGUAGAGCAUGAAACUCUUGAUCUCGAGGUUGUUAAGUUCAAGCCCCACGUUGGGUG
rnacentral:tRNA from 1 species